GAGUUUGAUUAUGGCUCAGGAUGAACGCUGGCGGCGUGCUUAACACAUGCAAGUCGAACGGGCGAAUUAUAUCGGAGGUCUUCGGGCCGAAGAGAUAAUAAGCUAGUGGCGGACGGGUGCGUAACGUGUGGGUAAUCUGCCUUUGUCAUAGGAAUAACUGCUUGAAAAAGUAGCUAAUACCAAAUAACAUAUCGUAUAGGCAUCUAUAAGAUAUCAAAGAGAAAUCGGACAAAGAUGAGCCCGCAUCUGAUUAGCUGGUUGGUAGGGUAAAAGCCUACCAAGGCGACGAUCAGUAGCCGGCCUGAGAGGGUGAACGGCCACAUUGGAACUGAGACACGGUCCAAACUCCUACGGGAGGCAGCAGUGGGGAAUAUUGCACAAUGGGGGGAACCCUGAUGCAGCAACGCCGCGUGAGUGAAGAAGGCUUUCGAGUCGUAAAACUCUGUUGUAAGGGAAGAUA
rnacentral:rRNA from 1 species